AUCAUAACUGCUGGAUUAUAUGGUAAGAUUAUUUUCUAAGAAAUUGCCAAACUGUCUUCAAAAGUGGUUUUACUAUUUUGCAUAUCCAUCAACAGU
rnacentral:pre_miRNA from 1 species